UAAACGCGUGGGCAACCUGCCCCAUAGAGGGGGACAACAGCUGGAAACGGCUGCUAAUACCGCAUAACAAGGAGAGAGCGCAUGUUCUUUUCUUCAAAGAUUUAUCGCUAUGGGAUGGACCCGCGUCUGAUUAGCUAGUUGGUGAGGUAACGGCUCACCAAGGCGACGAUCAGUAGCCGGCUUGAGAGAGUGAACGGCCACAUUGGGACUGAGACACGGCCCAGACUCCUACGGGAGGCAGCAG
rnacentral:rRNA from 1 species